GGGCGAUGACGGUGGGGAGAACAGACACUGGACGUGGUGUUCAGUGGUUAGUGAUCGCUGAGACCAGACGGGACGCAGAUCACACUGCAUGGGGUUGGCAGUGAGUUGAGUCGAGCAAGAGGAGGCACAACACGUGAAAAGCCGCACUCCCUUGCCGGCCUCUUGACGUCCCGAACUGCGCAGAACGGCCAUCCUGGGAAAGCCUGGGGCUCAGGCACCUGCUCAGAGCAGCUCAGGUGGUUCCUUUUUCUCAUUUAUAGACAGCUUAGCACGGAGGGAAAAUAAAAGUUAUUGUUUCUCUAAAAUACCUGCAGGGGCCCGAGAGCCGAGGCUGGAUUUAAUCAGCGCAGGUCACGCCCAUUAGCGUCCAUUAAUGUCGUUGCUAUCUGUGGUGCCUCUUGAAGCUGCGCCCGGUCCAGCAGAUCCUUUCAAACCCUGAGGCGAUUGUGUUUGGGCUGUUGCGGGCUGGGAAGCAAGAUGAGAGCCCCAGGAGACUGAGGAUACGAUGCAUCAGCUGGGUUCCUGCCAUCACUUAGCAAACCCUCACAGCGAAAGGACUUCCAGUGAGGAAUCGCAAUCCCACACUCCCUGUACUGCAAGGUGUUCAAGCACCUAUUUCUUGAUUUUAUCCACUUGUCUAAUUGUUGGUGGCAGAAGGGUGAGCCCAGUGACCACAACUCCAACACGAAGGAAGUGGAAGCUUCAGGAAGAACGAAGGGAGUGAAACGAGCUUCUCCUGUUUGAUCAGUGUGCUGAGAAGCCUGCCGCUCACCCAGAAGGAUUAGGGAGGAAAUGAGCGUUAUGGUGCAUGAACUUCAUGGGCUUCGCGUUCGGCCAGAUUUCCAAUCUCAAUGAUCCCCUGCACGACACUGGAGAGCUAGAGAUUGCAAUCGUGUUUCAUGAAUGCGGGGGAAACGUCUCGCAAGAUGAAAACAAUACCUCCGACUACCUGGCACAGCCACCACUUGGUAGACUGGAAGCUACUGGAAGCAUUUCAGUUUGGAAUCUAAACCCUAACUUAGUCCACGCAGAGCCUUCAUUUACAUGCUUUCUUCCAACUCCCUAUGUCUGGAUUAUCUGGGUACACAUCUGUCUCUGUCACCAGAUAUGAGCUUCCUUAAGGUCAGGGCUAUGUUUUAUGACCCUCCCCCCCCCACCCCCCCACCCCCGCGUCUAACAUAGUA